UACGAAGGGGGCUAGCGUUGUUCGGAAUCACUGGGCGUAAAGGGCGCGUAGGCGGCUAGAUAAGUCUGGGGUGAAAGCCUGUGGCUCAACCACAGAAUUGCCUUCGAUACUGUCUGGCUUGAGACCGGAAGAGGUUAGUGGAACUGCGAGUGUAGAGGUGAAAUUCGUAGAUAUUCGCAAGAACACCAGUGGCGAAGGCGGCUCACUGGCCCGAUACUGACGCUGAGGCACGAAAGCGUGGGGAGCAAACAGG
rnacentral:rRNA from 1 species